CUAGAGUGUUCUUGCUCUUCCUAACCUAACAUCCCUUUUCCCUUCCCUGCUGUCUUCCCUGAGGACUUCAGGCUCCAGUCAGAUACGAAGACAACAGCCUUACAGAGAUUGCUAACUCACAACUUCAUAAGGCCAUUUGCUUUUAUAUAUUUACAUAUAAACGUGAAAUUAUCUAUAUAUAAUGUAUCUAUCUGUCUAUCUUUCUAUCUACCUGUCUCCUAGUGGUUUUGCUUCUCUCUGAUCAAUACAGAAGGAAUACCACCAAGGAAUAUUUCAUCAGAAUACCACCAACAGCUGCAACAAGAAUAUUAAGAAAUAUUUUUGAGAGCUUUUUAAGCAUCAGGACUAUGCACCUUUAGGCAUAAGGACUUAUUUAAUCCUCGCAAUAAUUCUUCCCUCCAGGACUAUUAUCCCCAUUUUGCAGAAGGGGAACCCAGAUUGAGAGAGGUGAAGUCCCUGGCCUGCCGUCAUGGAGCUAGAGUGUGGCAGAACCGAAUGCCAGUCCGAGUUUGCUCAACCCCAAAGCCCGGGCUUUAAACUGUUGCAUUGUACUGCUUGCAGGAAAAGUGAACUCCAGCCACACUUAACAUUAGUCAUGUGUUUUAUGGACAUUCUGAUGCAUGAAUGCUGGGGUACCCUCUAACUGCAGAGGAAGAGAGAAGAGCAUGCUUGCUUUGGAAACAAGAUGUGCCUUGAAGGUCAUGAUGUCUUUGAGGGUUUGGUUUACAAGCCACUGUGACAUUUUCACUGACUCAUAAAAGAGGCCCCCUACUUGGCCUCCUUCUGGAAGCUACUCACAGCGCAAAUGUGGUCUUCCUAGAGUGCGGAGAUGACACCAGUAUUCCCAGGAAGGUAAUGUGAAUAGUUGCUCCAGGUUGACACGUUGGAAAACCCCAAAAGUUCUGAGUCCCUGCAGCUCCCAAGCGGCAGGCUCAGGAGCACAACGUGCUCAUCAGCGGAUGAAGAACCAGAGAAGGGAUGGUGGGAUUUUCUUCUGAAAAAUCAUGCACUGACUUGUCAGAGAGAAAACAGA